rnacentral:rRNA from 1 species
CAGCCGCCGCGGUAAUACGUAGGUGGCAAGCGUUGUCCGGAAUUAUUGGGCGUAAAGGGCUCGCAGGCGGUUUCUUAAGUCUGAUGUGAAAGCCCCCGGCUCAACCGGGGAGGGUCAUUGGAAACUGGGAAACUUGAGUGCAGAAGAGGAGAGUGGAAUUCCACGUGUAGCGGUGAAAUGCGUAGAGAUGUGGAGGAACACCAGUGGCGAAGGCGACUCUCUGGUCUGUAACUGACGCUGAGGAGCGAAAGCGUGGGGAGCGAACAGGAUUAGAUACCCCAGUAGUCCCUGUCCUUAUACA